CAUCUUUCAGAUCACACUCGACCAAAUCAACAGCCUGAAAGAGCGAGUCAACAGAGACAACGAUUCCAAGACCAAGUACAGCACCUACCAGAUCUUGACCUCCCACAUUUGGCGCGCCGUCACCAAGGCCCGCGACCUCCCCGCCGAACAGCCGACUAAGCUCCACAUCUCCACCGACGGAAGGACUCGCCUCAAUCCUCCGCUUGCCAAAGGAUACCUCGGCAAUUGCGUCUUCCACGCCACGCCCAUCGCCACAUCGGGAGAUCUGUUGUCUGAGCCGCUGAUCCGGACCGUGGACCGGAUCCACGACGCGAUCAAGAGGAUGGACGACGAGUACCUGAGAUCCGCCAUCGAUUAUUUGGAAGAUCCGAACGACUCGUCUGCGAUAAUGCAGGUUCCGGGGACUUGCAGGACGCCGAAUCUGAAGAUUAUUAGCUGGAUGCGGCUGCCAUUUGAGUGCGCUGAUUUCGGAUGGGGGAAGCCGAUUUUUAACAGGCCGGCGAAUCUUUUCGAAGGGAAAGGGAAUAUCUUGCCCAAGUACAGCGUCGACGGGAAUCUGUCGCUGGCGCUCUGCUUGGAGACUUACGCCAUGGAGAAUUUCAGGAAGACCUUUUACGAUGUCACUGUGUGAAGAAGAAUAAUUAUUUUAGUGCUUUCUAUCUGUUUUUGUCCUUGAAUCGUAAUUUUUUUCCAAGAUUAUCUUGAUUGUGUCUCUUUUGUAAUGCUUGGGCCUAGGUGGGGUUGUGAGGUUGGCGGUUCCGUCGUCUGUCUGUGUGCAGUGCACACUAGUUAUAUCCUUUUGGUAGAAUGGUCAUAUUUUCAAGUUCGGUUCAAUCAAUAUUGUCAAACUAUUUACAUUCA
rnacentral:lncRNA from 1 species